rnacentral:rRNA from 1 species
UACGGGGGGGGCAAGCGUUGUUCGGAAUUACUGGGCGUAAAGGGCUCGUAGGUGGCCAACUAAGUCAGACGUGAAAUCCCUCGGCUUAACCGGGGAACUGCGUCUGAUACUGGAUGGCUUGAGUUUGGGAGAGGGACGCGGAAUUCCAGGUGUAGCGGUGAAAUGCGUAGAUAUCUGGAGGAACGCCGGUGGCGAAGGCGGCGUCCUGGACCAACACUGACACUGAUGAGCGAAAGCCAGGGGAGCAAACGGG